rnacentral:rRNA from 1 species
GAUGAACGCUAGCGGGAGGCUUAACACAUGCAAGUCGAGGGGCAGCAUAGGGUAGCAAUACUCUGAUGGCGACCGGCAAACGGGUGAGUAACGCGUAUGCAACCUACCCUGUACAGGGGGAUAACCCGGAGAAAUUCGGACUUAAUAUCCCGUAAUAAUAUCCGGAGGCAUCUUUGGAUAUUUAAAGUUCCGACGGUACGGGAUGGGCAUGCGUAACAUUAGCUGGUUGGUAAGGUAACGGCUUACCAAGGCUAUGAUGUUUAGGGGUCCUGAGAGGGUGGUCCCCCACACUGGUACUGAGACACGGACCAGACUCCUACGGGAGGCAGCAGUGAGGAAUAUUGGUCAAUGGGCGCAAGCCUGAACCAGCCAUCCCGCGUGCAGGAAGACGGCCCUAUGGGUUGUAAACUGCUUUUCCAGGGAGAGAAACUUACGCACGUGUUGCGUGACUGACGGUACCCUGGGAAUAAGCAUCGGCUAACUCCGUG